GAUGAACGCUAGCGGCAGGCUUAAUACAUGCAAGUCGCGGGGUAGCAAGAUUGUAGCAAUACAAUUGUUGACGACCGGCAAACGGGUGCGGAACACGUACACAACCUUCCUACAAGUGGUGAAUAGCCCAGAGAAAUUUGGAUCAAUACCCCGUAACAUAGCGCUUUGUCAUCACAUUGCUAUAAUAACUCCGGCGCUAGUUGAUGGGUGUGCGGCUGAUUAGAUAGUCGGCGGGGUAACGGCCCACCAAGUCUACGAUCAGUAGCUGAUGUGAGAGCAUGAUCAGCCACACGGGCACUGAGACACGGGCCCGACUCCUACGGGAGGCAGCAGUAAGGAAUAGUGGACAAUGGACGCAAGUCUGAUCCAGCCAUGCCGCGUGAAGAAUUAAGGUCCUCUGGAUUGUAAACUUCUUUUAUAAGGGACGAAAAAAGGUCUUUCUAGAUCGUCUGACGGUACCUUAUGAAUAAGCACCGGCUAACUCCGUGCCAGCAGCCGCCGUAAGAC
rnacentral:rRNA from 1 species